rnacentral:rRNA from 1 species
GACGGAGGGCGCGAGCGUUGUUCGGAAUCACUGGGCGUAAAGCGCGCGCAGGCGGGUUUUUAAGUCUGAAGUGAAAUACCGGGGCUCAACUCCGGUGCUGCUUCGGAUACUGGGAGCCUGGGGACCGGUAGAGGCCGGUGGAAUUGCUGGUGUAGCGGUGGAAUGCGUAGAGAUCAGCAAGAACACCCGUGGCGAAGGCGGCCGGCUGGGCCGGGUCCGACGCUGAGGCGCGAAAGCGUGGGGAGCAAACAGG